UACGUAGGGUGCAAGCGUUGUCCGGAAUUAUUGGGCGUAAAGAGCUCGUAGGCGGUUUGUCGCGUCGGCUGUGAAAACUCGGGGCUCAACCUCGAGACGUCGGCGGAAACCAUCUGGCUAGAGUCCGGAAGAGGAGAGUGGAAUUCCGUGGUGUAGCGGUGAAAUGCGCAGAUAUCAGGAAGAACACCCGUGGCGAAGGCGGCUCUCUGGGACGGUACUGACGCUGAGACGCGAAAGCGUGGGGGAGCGAACAGG
rnacentral:rRNA from 1 species